GCAGCCGUAGUCGCCGCUCUGUAUCUAGCAUGGAGGAAGCUAUGAGGAAGCAGCAAGAAAAGUUUCGUGAAGAGAUGCGGCAACAACAAAUGGCAUUUCUCCAACAGCAAUCAGAGUACAUGGCUGCUUACAACGCACAGGCGCAACAAGCAAUGAACGUGAGUGUCUUAUUUAUUCUCAACACGCUCGAUAUUGGUUCUAUAACUAAUAUAUUAUAUUUGCAACAGUCUUGGUUUCCACAGCAGGCACAUCAGCAACCAUUUGUUUUCCCUCAAUUUCAGCCGUCGAUGCCUCAGUGGGGAUUACAUGCUCCGCCACCUCCACCUCCACCUCAGGUUAUUCAAUUUAGUUAAGACUUGUCGUUUGUAUCAACCUAAUUUCAAAUCUUUACUAAACUUGAUUUUGUAGGGAUCCGGGGUCAUGGG
rnacentral:lncRNA from 1 species